ACAUUUUGUUUUUGCAGUGUACUGUAAGCCAAGUGUCCAUAAAAUGUUUUUUUUUUUUUUUUUUUAAAUUUCCUCUAACAAUUGUAACAGAUUAUAUCUUUGUUGGCUUUUUGUAACAAAAGAACCUCAAAACUUGUACAUCAGAGGACGCACCUUAAACAAAAAUGAAAACUUUCUCAUGAAAAAGCUGCCAAAAGCCAAAGAAAACCUGAAAUCCGACUUUAAAAGGUCACAAUAACAUCUAACGAGUCGACUGAAGACUUUUGCACAGUACUGAUCAUUUUUUAACCUCCAGAAAUCAGUUUUGGAUGUUCCUCGUCGUCAGACAGCUUACAGCCCCGUUUGCUCUCCGUAUACCUUCCAUUCCCUCCAGGGCGUUUUUAACGGCGUCAAGUGGACCAGUCAAAGUAAGACAUUCUACUGACAUCACAAGCACAGGUAAGGCUUAUAAAGCUGCUUAUUCCAGAGGACAGUCUACACACUGUUGCUACGGUAACUACAGCUAGGACAGGUAAAGGAGUCGGCAUGCUUGCAGAGGAAGAGAGGAGCGGUGUGGCAUGUGGGUGAGGGACACUGACACUCAAGUCCAUUGAUAUCCAUUAAUAUAAAAAAGAAGAACAUUGAUAUAAAAUUAAAAUAAUGGUCAAAGACUGGAGAUGGUUGGUAUUUAGAUUUAAAAUAACCAUAUCUUGAUUAAAUUUCUCAUUUUGUCCCCCCAAUCGGGGCUCCAGAGCCAACUUUCCAACCUUAAACUACACAAAUUAACAACCGUAUAGAAAUAAAACUUUGGAGGAAACUUUGGCAGCAGAAAAACAGAUUUUAAAAAUAGCCUAAAUCUAUUUUAGCCAUUUUUAAGAACGUAGCUGAUAUACGAUACAUGUGCCUUGAUAAAUACCCCAAAAUACAAGAGUCAAACGUUUCCAGGUUAUUUUCUUUCUCUCCGCAGAUGUUCAGAUAAGUAGUAAUGUUGAGGUGAAGCACCUUCAGGUGACCUCAGGGUCAACGUUAGGCAGCUUCAGGUGACCUCAGGGUCAACGUUAAGCAGAUUCAGGUGACCUCAGGGUCAACGUUAGGCAGCUUCAGGUGACCUCAGGGUCAACGUUAGGCAGCUUCAGGUGACCUCAGGGUCAACGUUAGGCAGCUUCAGGUGACCUCAGGGUCAACGUUAAGCAGAUUCAGGUGACUUCAGGGUCAACGUUAGGCAGCUUCAGGUGACCUCAGGGUCAACGUUAGGCAGCUUCAGGUGACCUCAGGGUCAACGUUAAGCAGCUUCAGGUGACCUCAGGGUCAACGUUAGGCAGCUGCAGGUGACCUCAGGGUCAACGUUAGGCAGCUUCAGGUGACCUCAGGGUCAACGUUAAGCAGAUUCAGGUGACUUCAGGGUCAACGUUAAGCAGCUUCAGGUGACCUCAGGGUCAACGUUAGGCAGCUUCAGGUGACCUCAGGGUCAACGUUAGGCAGCUUCAGGUGACCUCAGGGUCAACGUUAAGCAGCUUCAGGUGACCUCAGGGUCAACGUUAGGCAGCUGCAGGUGACCUCAGGGUCAACGUUAGGCAGCUUCAGGUGACCUCAGGGUCAACGUUAAGCAGCUUCAGGUGACCUCAGGGUCAACGUUAGGCAGCUGCAGGUGACCUCAGGGUCAACGUUAGGCAGCUUCAGGUGACCUCAGGGUCAACGUUAAGCAGAUUCAGGUGACCUCAGGGUCAACGUUAAGCAGCUUCAGGUGACCUCAGGGUCAACGUUAGGCAGCUGCAGGUGACCUCAGGGUCAACGUUAAGCAGCUUCAGGUGACCUCAGGGUCAACGUUAAGCAGCUUCAGGUGACCUCAGGGUCAACGUUAGGCAGCUGCAGGUGACCUCAGGGUCAACGUUUUGUCACUUCAAACUUUUUCCGUUCAAUUCCUCAAACUCACAAAGAAACGAUUUUGAGCUCAACUGUAAAAGAAAUGCAAAAAACCUGAAACUCUCAUUGCUUCAAGCAAACGCUUUGGGUGAAUUGGCCACUCAUUCACUAUAUAGUGUGCUGCACAGCGAGUCGUCCAUUUUGUAAUAAAAAUUAUUAUUAUUUUUAUUACAGUAACUUUUCAACAGCUUAUUAAAAACAUCUGCUGGUAUAGUAAAAUGUUCAUUUUAUUGAUCUGGACAGAUCAUAAAGAAAUGCAGUCUAUCAAACAGGAUAUAGUGUUAGCAUGUCAAUGCUAAUAUUAGCAAAAACAAACUGUUUUUAUUGUUAUCUGCUAUAUAAUCCACUAAAUAUUUGUUACGUUGAACAUUAAAUAUGCUAAUAGAGAAAACGUUUAAUUCAUGAGUUUAUGUGCAGCAUAAUGUAGUACUGUCUGAGCAAACAGAGAGCUAAAUUAGCAUUAUCAUGCUAACAUUAGCAUUACCAAACGUGUAUAUACAGCACAAUUAUUUUAUUAUUACUUGGCACACUAAAUGUAGAUGCUACAUAAGUUGUGCCCUGAAUCAACAAUUAAGUGUAUUGUAGUUGUGUUUAAUCAAAUAUCAUCAAUGCUAGUGCUAACAGGCUAAUGCUAAAGUUUAGUUGUAGUUGUUCUACCAUGUAGUUGACUAGAAAUGUGUUUUCUUGUACAGUAAAUGUAUUUUACAGAGGCACUGUAUACAAUAUUAAGAUGUGUAAGUGAUGCUGACUUAGCCAACAAAGGAUAAUGUUAGCAUGUAAUCAGCAAAUGUUGGCAUGCUAAUGUUAAUAUUCAACAAUCAUUUUAUUUUUAAUUCAAUAUUGGGUACUAAAAAUGCUCCACAUGCUAAAUACACUGUAAAGAUGGUGUCAGGUGUAAUAUUGUGCUAUCUAAGAUAACCUAGCUUGAUGCUGGUGUUGUAAUGCUAAUGCUAGCAUGCUAAUGCAAAACUUAAAUUGUAAUUUCUUUUAUCGCCAAAAUAUUGCACCACAAAAUUGUCACAUAUAUGAGUUAAAAAGAAAAUUAAUGUAGCAUCUUUUUGGCAUAUGCUGCAAUAAAUGUACAAAACACAACGUUAGCAUUUUGAUAUUGACGUUAGUGUUGUACCACAAAUGUUCAACUAUAUUUUACACCUAUCAUACAGUGCACUAGAAUUUUUUUCAUGGUGCAGAAAUUUUCUUUAAAAUGCAUCAAUUAUUAGAGUUAGCAUUCGCAGGCUAACAUUAAUGUCAUGUAAAGUGUAUCUGUAGUCAUUUUUAACCAAUCAUUCAACAUGUCAACAUGUUAAUGUUAAAAUGUUUAGUAACAUGUUAACAUUACUGUUAACUAAAGAUUAGCCAUCGUUAUUAAUCUUGUUUAUCCGUUAAUGUACUAAAUGAAUAUUGUGGACUGCUUCCAUUGUUAUAUGCUAACGCCAAUGUUAGCAAGCAAAUUAUAAUUUCUAGCUGUAUAUUUUCAUCUUCUAUAUAACGCAGUAGAAACUGUUUCAUAUUAAGGUAAAAAUACUGUAAAGGUUGUGAAGUGAAUCAGUUAUCAAGAAGAGCAAUGCAGUACUCCAUGUUAGCGCUAACACUAUUAUGCUAAUGCUAAUGUCCAACUUUAUUUCAAAAGACAGAUCACAAGACAUUUGAUCCAGUAAACUAACUCCACAAAAAAUUAGCUCUGUGACAAUUAUUAUUACUGUUAUGCAGUGAAUCCUGAGCCAAGUAACUGCAGUGUUAGCAUGCUAACGCUAAUGAGCGACACAAACUUAUUGGAGGAUUUAAUAUGUUAUCAAUGUCUGCUAUGAUAGGAGCAGUUUCAGUUAAGUACCUUGUUUUGAUAAGUAGUAAAUAGGUUUUUUUUCAUAACUGGUUUACGAUAAUCAGACUCCGACAAACAUUUUGAAGCUCCAACAUGUCCAAACAAACCCACUUGCUGCGCUGCACCUUUAAUCAGAUAAAGCUUGACAUGUGGCUUCAGCUGGUGCAUGUUUAAGUAAUUAUUCUGGCACUCAGUGGGAUGUUCUACUAACGUGGGGAAUCGAGGUCAAUCUGGUGGAAAUUUAAAACAACCAACAACCAAACAGGUGUUUUAUUUUUACUCAGGAACAAAAACCCAAAGGAGGAAAAUCCGUCCCUCUUCUUGACCUACAACCAACCAGAAAACAAUUAGCAGCACUAAUAAGUUUAGAUAGGUAAAAUUUUAAGUUUUAGGAACAAUGAGUAACAGCUACAUCCUUUUAUUAAGUGUAGGAUGACCCUGCUGUUCCCUCUCUGACUGCAUUUUCAACCUAAAACAGACAAACUAACAUUUAAAUACAGUAAACAUCAAAUGUACUCUUCGAUUAAAAAGUACAAAACAAUUUACCUCAAUUCAGCUUAAUUCACUGUGGUUGUACACCCAGUCUUUGAAAAUAAAGAACUACUAUGACACUACCUCAUUGAUUAAAUUUCCCACAUUUUUUAACAUAUUUGCUCUGCAAGGGAUCAUUUGUUUAUAAAUAAAAAUACAUGACCAGAAUUUACCCAAUGCCUCAGAAGAUCUGGGAAUAAAGGAGAUAUAACGAUAAAAAAUGUGUUUUAUGGCACAGAAAAUGUGUUGUAGAGACGCUGUACAUGGCAUUUGUUAAGAAGUGUACUGUUAGCAUGUUAAUGCUAAUGCUAGCAUGCUAAACCUUAAGCAAUAAUGGACAUUAAAGCUCAACGAUCCUUCUUUUUAUCAUGAUCGUAGUACAGAGUUGUUGAGAUUAGUUUAAAAAAGGUAAAGUAACCAAAACUAUCUUUAGCAAUCCAGAGGUUACGUUAGCAUGUUUACGCUAAUGUUUCUGAGCAAUUAAUCUAAUGCAGAAGCACAACAAUCAUCCGGACCUGUAAAGUCGUCCUCCUGUUAGCUAAUUCUGGAGCGCUAGCUACAACAUUUGUUCCCACUGAGAAAAAGAUGCUAUGCUAAGGCUAACAAAUGUUAAGUGAAGCUAGCCCUGCUAGCUAUAUCUACUUUGUGAACAAAAUAUAGUGACUGAGUGACAUUCACAUUUCAAAGACAGCUGCAGUCGUUGAAAAUAUUAAAAAAAAAAUAAUUAUGCUUGUCCUGUGAUAGAGUCUGACAGUCCUCAAAAUCUGUUGCAUGAUUACAAAAGAAGAAGAAUUCAAACAGAAACGAAGACAGUCGCCUUCACCUGAAAAUACAACCUGAAAGAGACAUGCACAGUUCAGACCACAAGGAAAAUAAAGAACUGUGACAAAGAAAACAUGAGAAAUCAAAAGAUUAUCAAUAAAAAUCCAUGAGUGUAAUCCUGAAAAUAGACAUGUUGUUAAGUCAGUCAACACGGUGGGUUUCUUCUCAGGAGGACUGGCCAUCACUACUGCCUUGAUUAUGAAUUUGGAAAGAAAACAAAACAACAAAAACAACAUGAAACCAAAGUUACGGAACACCAGCGCAUGCUCGACAAAACAUGAUCAAAACCCAAACUGAGGAAAGUGCAGGGUUGGUUGCAAAGGAACUGUGGAUACACACAGGAUCAAGCAGUCAAAAUGACUCCACACAAUCAUAUGAACAGACAGGAUCACACACUGCAGCGCCACCACCAGGAAAACCACUGCCAUAACCCACACCGAAACCAGGUUAGGAGGGAAGAGCAGCUCAAGACAAAACACGGCUUGCUGGCUUUUGUCGCCCCCGUCCUCUUGAAGACCCCAAGUGUCCCUAGAGACCCCGGAUUAUCGGGAGGCUUUAAGGAGACGCUUUAUUUUGAAGGGGUGUGAAUAAAACAGACGGCAGACUGUGGUAAACAUGGAGGAGUCUUCAAGAGUGUUUAUGACUGUUGUCGUUAAGUGUGAUUCGGUAAAUAAUAACACUUUUAAUGAAAAGUUGACAUUGUUUAAGAUGUUUUCUUGACAACUAGACAUUAGACAAGAAAUUAUAAAUAUGUUAUAACAGGUAUUGAUUGUCAGACUUUAAAACGUUAUGUAGCUUUGUGUGUGAAUAUUACAUUACUCUAUAAUUUAUUGUUAGUCUUUUUGAAUUAAUUUGCAAAGUUCAUAAGUGUUAUAACAUAUUUAUUACAGAUUAUGAAGACAUGAUUAAUGUCAAGUAUAUAACAAAGACAUUUAUUGUUUUGGAUAUAGUCAAGUUGUCUUUGUUGUGACUACUUGAUAUUAACCAAGACAAAAAUGUAUUUUUGACAACCAGACAUUAACAAAGAUAUUAUUAUCCAUCAUAAAUACGUUAUAACAAGUGUUGACUAUCAAACUUUAAAAAGUUAUGCAGCUUUAUGUCUUAAUAUUACAUCACUGUCAUUUAUUGUUCGUCUUUUUGAAUUAAUAUGGAUAGUUCAUAUGUGUUAUAACACAUUUAUUACAGAUUACGAUGUCUUAUCAAUGUCCAGUUAUCAUAGUAAAAACAACUUUGUCUUUGUUAUGACAACUUGACAUUAACCAAGAAAUUAUAAACUGUUAUAAAUAUGUACUGACUAUCAAACUUUAAACAUUAGAUUAUGAUGUCGUGGUUAAUGUCAAGUUAACAAAAACAUUUAUUGUUUUGGAUAUCAAGUUGUCAAAAGUUAUUUUCCGUCUUGGUUAAUGUCAAGUUGUCAUAAAAAUGUUAUAGCAAGUAUUGAUUAUCAAACUCUAAAAGGUUAUACAGCUUUAUGGCUUAAUUUUAAUUUAAUUAAUCCUACAAUAUUCCAGCAAAAUGUCCACAAAGCACUUAUGAACUUUGCCUAUUUAUUCAACUUGACUUUAUGUCAAAUUGUCAUUACAAAUACAUUUUUCUUUUUUAAUGUCAAGUCGUCAUAACAGACAUUUUAAACCAAGUCAACGUUUUAUUAAAAGUGUCAUUAUUUACGGACUGACAUUAACGACAACAGUAAGACACUCCUGAAAACUCCUUUAUGUUUACGACAGUCUUACGUCAGUCUCACACACAGCCCUUCAAAAUAAAGCGUUUCCGUUUUCUCCUCUCAGCUGCUAACCUCGGCCACCCUGACCUAGGAUCCUUCGCUGGUCGACGCUAACGGAGCGGUAAACCCUACAUGGUGAUGGCUGAUCGAUGGCAAAAGGGACAGACACUUGGCUGUGCAGAGUCGCGUGGAAAUGAGUGGGCUGGACAUGGGACUCGUUCGGAUGUGGGGGGAUGUAUGCAGAGAGGACAGCGGAGGAGAGAAGGAGGUGAAACCAGAGA